CGCCGCCCUACCCCCACGCGGCACCUCGCUAGCCUAGAUUUCGACUCGCCGCAGGUCACCCCCUACAGUAGAAGCACCAUGUGGCCAUCCGCUCCGGCCGCCUCCAUAUGCUGCAACCCGACGUCGCCCAACUGUAGCGCUGUCGCACCAGCACGCCAUAGCACCAAAAGCGCAUCCCCUGCCGCAGAUAUCUGGGCUAGCCGCCACCCCAGCCAGUCGCGUAUGGGCAGGUGCGGGCCGACGGCCCCCUCCCGGACUCGAUCUUCCCCGCGCCCUUGCUUCCAGUCCCCAAAUCCAGGAGAGACAGCGGGGGCACAACCCAAGAUCGGCGACAGGGCACGAGCGGACGUUGGAGAGACCAGAUCGACAAGUUAUAUGCCCACUCCAGGAAGAAACUGUAAGAAGUGCACUUGCUGCUGUUUGCGUUGGACUAGCUGGUGUUCCAUUGGAAGGAAGACGAAUGAGCAGGAAGAUGAGGUUGGAGGCAUCCUACGUGUAGUUCCUUCUUGUUGCGAAUCGGAAGCUCACUGGUGAGAAUCCUUCGUUUCUUGGUUCUAAUCCCUCAUGUACUCGUGUUCAUGUGAUGAUAUUCCAGAUUUGGCCUUCUCUUCAUCUAUCGCGAACCACUAGCGUCAUUUAGGUAUGUGUCUUGCUUGACUUGUUGAUUUAUAAUUACACAGUGCACUUUGUUUUUCUAUGGCGAUCUAUUGCUUUGUUCUUAAUUUUGCAGUACCUGGCAAGAACAGCUUCAACAACAUCUCACAUCAUCAAGUAGGUGUGACUAUCCUCUGUACAGAACUUGACAAAAGUCAUUAUAUGCACUCUUGUCAUAGUGCUAAACGAAAUGACAUGCAAGAACGACUGUUUGUUAGAAUAGUUACUAUUAUACUCCCUCGGUUUCUAAAUAUUAGUCGUUUUAGAUAUUUCAAUACGAGCUACAUACGGAUGUAUAUGAACAUAUUUUAGAGUGUAGAUUCACUCAUUUUGCUUCAUAUGUACUCCAUAUUGGAAUCUCUAAAAGGUCUUAUAUUUAGGAACAAAGGUAGUAUUAGGUUGCUAGCUAUGAAAAAUAGAAAAUUGAAAGGAAGAGCUUUGAUGAUGAGAUAAACUAAGCAGAUUGAAUAAAGAACUACACGUUCUACACUGAAAUGGUGAGUUGUGCAGCUUUUAAACACAUGCCAAUAAAAACUAUCAAACCCUGCAACCUACUGGCCAAUCUCUACUUUUUGGCAUGGUCGACCUCCAUUGCCACCUGCUGAUUUUUCACUCAGUAGGCUAGAUGCAGAGAUCAAGAGGGCACAUGAUUGGAGCUACAGAAAGCUCUGGCAGCGUAUUUUUUCUAACAUGAACUAGGGACUGGGCGCAUAGGGAGUUGGAGCCUGUACAUGAAGCAUGUCCUGCUUAGUCCAGCUGCACAUGGCGAAUGAAGGUGUUUACGAGGUUGUGUUAACCUAACACAGAGGAUAGAGCUUUUACUGUUUUGUGAACAUUUUUAAUAGCAAUUUGAAUGAAGACCGUUUAAAAAGUUUAUAUGUCUUUGAAUGAAGACCAUUUACAAAGUUCAAUUAUUUAAUUUACAUGAACACUGGACCUGCAAGGAAGUACUUCUCUAAUAAAUGAAAUAUACAUGAUUCAGUUUA